ensembl:lncRNA
CAACGAUGAUCAGAAAUAAAAAUGUCAUCAGAAAAAAUAAAAUAUUAUUUAAACCCAAAGUAAAAGAAGGUUCAGUGUGUGUCUGUUGUUAUGUGAGAGUCCAGACUCAUGCUGGUUGAAAUUAAAAGAAUCCAUGAUGCUGUUAAAAUCCAUGGCAAAGACGUCAGAUCUCAAUGUGUACGGCAAAAUCUCCUCAAUUAUAACCGAUUUGGACACCUUCAUGGUGGAGGAUAAACAGUCACUGAAAUACUAUUUGGGCCAGAUGGAUGAUACACCACAGCACGGACAACCGGCUUCCAAACACAGCAGCAAGACCUCCUCCUCAACCAGACAUCUGAGGUUGGCUAAUGAAGGAGAAACCAUCUGGGAAAAGUUCAGUGAGGGAUGAAUAAUUUGAGUUGUGCUGCCAGGUUACACCCUGGCUGUUCAAGCUGUUCAAGGAGGACCUCGAGUACGACUUACCAGAGGGGGAAUUAAAUGACCUGAAGCCCUCUGUAAACACAGCCAAAUGUUCUGUGUUACAGAAGAACUUGCUGCUCCCUUGGCCUACCCCCGGG